rnacentral:rRNA from 1 species
GAUGAACGCUGGCGGCGUGCCUAAUACAUGCAAGUCGAGCGAACAGAUGAGGAGCUUGCUCCUCUGACGUUAGCGGCGGACGGGUGAGUAACACGUGGAUAACCUACCUAUAAGACUGGGAUAACUUCGGGAAACCGGAGCUAAUACCGGAUAAUAUAUUGAACCGCAUGGUUCAAUAGUUAAAGACGGCUUUGCUGUCACUUAUAGAUGGUUCCGAGCCGAAUUAGCUAGUUGGUAAGGUAACGGCUUACCAAGGCAACGAUGCGUAGCCGACCUGAGAGGGUGAUCGGCCACACUGGAACUGAGACACGGUCCAGACUCCUACGGGAGGCAGCAGUAGGGAAUCUUCCGCAAUGGGCGAAAGCCUGACGGAGCAACGCCGCGUGAGUGAUGAAGGUCUUCGGAUCGUAAAACUCUGUUAUUAGGGAAGAACAAAUGUGUAAGUAACUAUGCACGUCUUGACGGUACCUAAUCAGAAAGCCACGGCUAACUACGUG